CUGGCGGCGCGCUUACACAUGCAAGUCGCACGAGAAAGCGGGGGCAAACCUCGCAAGUACAGUGGCGUACGGGUGAGUAACACGUGGAUGAUCUACCCUUUAGUGGGGAAUAACCUUGGGAAACCGGGGCUAAUACCGCAUAAGCCCGAGAGGGGAAAGCAGCAAUGCGCUGAAGGAGGAGUCCGCGGCCGAUUAGCUGGUUGGCAGGGUAAAAGCCUACCAAGGCAAAGAUCGGUAGCCGGCCUGAGAGGGCACACGGCCACACUGGCACUGCAACACGGGCCAGACUCCUACGGGAGGCAGCAGUGGGGAAUCUUGCACAAUGGGGGAAACCCUGAUGCAGCGACGCCGCGUGAGCGAUGAAGCCCUUCGGGGUGUAAAGCUCUUUCGGCAGGGACGAUGAUGACGGUACCUGCAGAAGCAGCUGCGGCUAACUACGUGCCAGCAGCCGCGGUAAUACGUANGCAGCGAGCGUUGUUCGGAGUUACUGGGCGUAAAGGGUGUGUA
rnacentral:rRNA from 1 species